AUUGAACGCUGGCGGCAUGCCUUACACAUGCAAGUCGAACGGUAACAGGUUAAGCUGACGAGUGGCGAACGGGUGAGUAAUGUAUCGGAACGUGCCCAGUUGUGGGGGAUAACUGCUCGAAAGAGCAGCUAAUACCGCAUACGACCUGAGGGUGAAAGCGGGGGAUCGCAAGACCUCGCGCAAUUGGAGCGGCCGAUAUCAGAUUAGGUAGUUGGUGGGGUAAAGGCUCACCAAGCCGACGAUCUGUAGCUGGUCUGAGAGGACGACCAGCCACACUGGGACUGAGACACGGCCCAGACUCCUACGGGAGGCAGCAGUGGGGAAUUUUGGACAAUGGGCGCAAGCCUGAUUCAGCCAUGCCGCGUGCGGGAAGAAGGCCUUCGGGUUGUAAACCGCUUUUGUCAGGGAAGAAACGCUCUGGGUUAAUACCCUGGGGUAAUGACGGUACCUGAAGAAUAAGCACCGGCUAACUACGUGCCAGCAGCCGCAGUAAUAC
rnacentral:rRNA from 1 species